rnacentral:rRNA from 1 species
AUACGGAGGGUGCGAGCGUUAAUCGGAAUUACUGGGCGUAAAGGGCGCGUAGGUGGAUCAAUUAGUUGAGGGUGAAAGCCCCGGGCUCAACCUGGGAACUGCAUUCGAUACUGUUAAGCUAGAGUAUGGUAGAGGGAAGUGGAAUUCCAGGUGUAGCGGUGAAAUGCGUAGAUAUCUGGAGGAACAUCAGUGGCGAAGGCGACUUCCUGGACCAAUACUGACGCUGAGGUGCGAAAGCGUGGGGAGCAAACAGGAUUAGAAACCCCUGUAGUCC